rnacentral:rRNA from 1 species
AGGAUUAGAUACCCUGGUAGUCCACGCCGUAAACGAUGAGUGCUAGGUGUUGGGUCCUUUCCGGGACUCAGUGCCGCAGCUAACGCAUUAAGCACUCCGCCUGGGGAGUACGACCGCAAGGUUGAAACUCAAAGGAAUUGACGGGGGCCUGCACAAGCGGUGGAGCAUGUGGUUUAAUUCGAAGCAACGCGAAGAACCUUACCAGGUCUUGACAUCCCGAUGACCGCCCUAGAGAUAGGGUUUCUCUUCGGAGCAUCGGUGACAGGUGGUGCAUGGUUGUCGUCAGCUCGUGUCGUGAG